ensembl:lncRNA
UGGCCAGAUAGUGUCUGGUGACCUUGAUGGUCAUUUGAAGAUGGACGGGCAACAAUCUCAGUAUCAAUCAUUUAAGAAGCUGUCAGUUCUGACAUACUAUCUCCAUGGAAAAUCGCCAGAUGUCUUUUCUAGACCGAGAAUGGACAAGUGCAGCCUGAGCAAGCAGUCUAAGGCACAUCUGCCAGCGAACGGACCUAUAAAAGAUUUUGCCAUGUUUGUGGAGUGGGUGCUGAUGAACAGCCCCACUCCAGGCCCAGAGUCAAGCCAGCCUUCAUCCCGACAUCAGAGACCACCGCAGAUGGGGAGCCAGAGCCCGCCGCGAUUAAUGAGCCACUGCAAAACAGAGCAACAUAGCUGAUCAACGCCCCAGAGACAGAGCCUCAAGAUAUGUCUGAACAGGUGUGCGAGCCUCGUGGAGUUCAAAAUGGCUAGGAGGGAAGCCCUGCCCCAACUCCUGCUGCUGAGGGUGAGCUGCAACUGGCCUCUGGAAAUUUUUGGAGGAACUUAUGGACAUUUUUUAUAUGGAUUUAAUAGACUGGUUUGGGGAAGUAAUACCCAGUUCUCCUGAGUCUCCUAUGUCUCCGCUGGUUUCACCCAGCCUUGAAUCUCCUACAUCUCCACUGAUUCCACCCAUCGUUGAAUCUCCUUCGUCUCUGCUGGUUCCGCCCAGCUCCUCUUCUCCUGUGAUCCAUCCCAGCCUGAUCAGCCUUGGGCCUUCCAGACUCCAGCUCUGCCUAGGCAUAAAGAUCCCCUGUCUCCGCCUCCAGCCUUUGAGUCCCAGACUCUAUCUCAGUCCUACGAGCCAUCGGCUCCUUGCUCCCUCAUCUCCACCCUAGCCCAUCAUCCCACUGGCUCCACCGGGCUCCCUCAUCUUUCCGGCUCCACCUUGGUCAGUCAUUGAUAAUCCUCUGCUACGGGAUUACACUCCUCCUGAUUUGCCUCAUCCCUCUGGCUCUGUCAGGCUCCUCCCUCCAUCUGGCUCCACCUUGGUCCUCUAUAGCUCCGGCUUCACCCUUCCGG